CCAACAUUGGUCACCACAAACAGGCAAACUAGAUGAAGUCAAACCUGGAAAAGCUCUCAAUGUGACCCCUAAACUACACAGAACCUCCAUGAAUAUUCCAGGGCUCCUUGUUUGUCAGGAAGGCUGUCUCGCUUUCAUCUAUUCAGCCUUCUGAUAGACAACCCUGACACCUGGUCCCAGGGGAGACCCUCCGCCAAGUCACUGCACUGUUCCUUGAGAGACUUCCUUUACUUUAUCAGCCCAUAAAGGAUUGUCACAGGUGACUAUAUCAGCCGAGGUACGGAGCUGCUCCCCCUGACCUGCCCCUGCCACUGUGUGGUCACGGCACCGCACGGUGGAGGCACCGUGUGCUGUGGAUUAAGGGAAAAAGGAGGCUGCGGUGUCACAGUGCGGAUCACAAUAGAAUUUAGUUGGCUGUUCCCCCCCGAUCCUGAGAGGCUUUCACGAGCCCAUCCAUCAAGAGUAAAGGGUUGAGGGAGAGCGUCGACAAUGCUGCUGCUGCUGCUGCACUGAUGUAAAGCAUAAAGGAUUAAUGGUUUUUUAAAGGUAAGCAUGCUUUUACAAUAUACACAACAUUUGCCAUACAAUGCAGCAUUUUUUUUUUACAUUUUUGUUCUCUGUGCAACUUUAUAAAAAGGGAAGUCAAUUUAGAAAUAUGUCAAAAGUUAUUAAAACUGUACAUUUUUUUGGAUUGCUUUAAACCCCUGAUGUAAUAGAAAAAGCUUAACUUCAGAAUAUUUGAUAAAAGUCAGUGAUGAAAAAGUAAUAAUAAUAAUAAAAAAUGAACGUGAUUAUCACUGGAAAUGUGCUUGACAGAAGAGCAGGUGUGUGGAUGGAGUUCAUCAACGUCUCCCUGACAGCCACACUGUGUGAGGAGAGCAUCUCCUAAGCCUGGAUCUGGCACAGCUUUGGAGGACUGUUGGUGACUGAAGGCAGUGCGGAGUCAGGAGGAUCAUCAGUGGCUCUCUCCCAGGGAGAUGAGCAGCACAGGCCAAUUUCAUAUGCGGGGCUCGGCCUCUGGGUCUGAGUGGAGGUGGGCUGGGUCCACACAGUAUCCUGGCUUCAUUAAUCAUCCCGCUAAGGCUUACCGGCAAACCCCCUCUCCGCCCUCUCCUAGACAACCCCUCGGAUUACACAGAGCCAGCGAAAUGUCAGCCCAAAUCUGAGUCUUGAUGCAGAUAAUCAUUUCAAUAAUAUUUCUCCAUUUGUGCCCCCCAUGCCAGGGGAAUAAAGCUUUUCCGCUGUCAGGUAGCAUAAGACUACAGUUGGUGGGAAUACUUGACUCUGAGCCAGAUGGCUUAGCCAUGCUUGCAACAUAUGUUCAACAAGCAGUGCUGUGCCAGGCAAGCAUUAGGUUUUUAUUAAUUUGAAGCAGCCAGGUAUGCAUGUGUAUAUAUUUACCUGAUCCAUCACUGCUCAUCCUCCAGUCUUCUCUUUGGGGAAUCUGACUAGACCACACUUGUGUUUACAGCAGGAAAAUAUCAGAUCAAGGCUUCACAUCAUUAUCAUAGUGUUUAUUCUAACUUGGUUUUUAUCUCAUUUAACAUCUUUUUUUUUUUUAAAGUCUCCAAAAAGACAUUGCAUUUGUUACCAAUCAAAGACACUCAGUGUAUAUUUAUGGCUGCAGUGUCUGUCAUCCUAGGGGCAGGUUGUUAGAAAGCAAAUUACCAUUUAGAUUCAUGAAUAUGCUUGAGUCCGAGACAAAAGAAACAGUGCUGCAUGGAAGCAGGGCAAAUUUAUUCAUUACCACUAAGUUGAACUUCCCUUUAACAGCCCGGUGCUCUGAAAUCCUGGGAGUUCUUCUCUCUCAGUGACUUAUGGUAGUGCAGGGGGAGUCGGGGGGGAGCCGCGCGGAAAAUGUCAAUAGAAAUAGUAAGUGUGAGAGAGGAGGCUUGCCUAAUUAGUGCCCAUUUAGAUUUUAUGACGGCUCUGAGAUCUGCUCUUCCUGACAGAGAGCACUAUAGUUGCAUAUUGUCCUAGCCUGAGGGAACCAUAGGAAAAUCCAGAUUUAUUGUACCUAUCAUACCAGCAUAUUUCACUUGCCAUUAUGAGAUGCCAUCUUGCAAUGAUGCCAGAUUAUUUAUUACAGAUUAAAUUGUGGGACCUGGGUGGUUGAGGAACAUUUCAAAGUACCAUUCCUCUUAUUAACUUCUUCAUUAUCUGCCCCACUGUGAUCUAAAAGCUCCCUGCUUCCUGUCGGUGUUAACAGAUACAUCACCCAUCGUACAACGCCUAACUGUUUUCUCCGCUCUCUGCAUUUGUUUUCUAACAUUAGUCCCACAAUGCACUGCAGCUCAUCUGUUAGCCCGACUGGUGGCAGAAUGUGACUUCAUUACGGCUAAUUCCACACGUAGAAGUUUUUCAUUCCAUAUGUUUGGUUUAAAACUAGAAUCUGUUGCGAUGGUUCCAUUCCUUUGGGUCAAUUAAAUUAAUAUUAUGCUUUAUUUUGGGUCUAAUUACUUGCAAGUCUGUCGCGUUGGGGCACAGGGAUAGUGAACUGCAGCUUCCAGAUGCUGGAAUGGUUUUGAACCCAAACAUUGUUUUCAGUUCUGAAAAGUGCUGGUCAAGCAGCAAAUUCUUUCU